rnacentral:rRNA from 1 species
CGUGUAGCCGGGCCGACAAGUCAGAUGUGAAAUCCGCGGGCUUAACCCGCGAACUGCAUUUGAAACUGUUGGUCUUGAGUAUCGGAGAGGUAAUCGGAAUUCCUAGUGUAGCGGUGAAAUGCGUAGAUAUUAGGAAGAACACCAGUGGCGAAGGCGGAUUACUGGACGACAACUGACGGUGAGGCGCGAAAGCGUGGGGAGGCAAAACA